UUGACACAAUACCUGCGCGUCUACUGUAACCUCUUCCCGAGCGGAUCAGCUCGACCUCUCCAGUCGCGUCAACGCCCCUCCGAGCGCGAGCAGCGGAGCUCGUCCUCUCCGGAUCCAGUCGGCAGUUGUAUCAACGCCCCGCCCCCCGGCGAUUCUGCUCCUAGCCAGCAGGAAUGCACAGUGGAGCUUCUACCUUUGAUGACUACAGGAAGCAGCUACAGAUUGUACUGCAGGAUCCUAGUGAAGAACCCGUGCCUCUGUCACUGGAUUAUUUGAAAGCCAUCACAGAUGGUUUUUCUUCUGAUCGACUAGUUGGCAGGGGUGGGUUUGGAGAGGUUUACAGGGGAGUUCUCGGGAGGGAGAAGUUUAUUGCUAUCAAGAAACUUUAUGCUGAACAUGUGGUUGAUGACAGCAAAUACAAAGCUGAGUUCAAUUCUCUAAUGAGGAUACGGCACCCAAAUAUAGUGCAACUUAUUGGUUACUGUGCCGAGACAAAGUUUGAAGCGAUGCCGCGAAACGGGGAACAUAUUCUUGCAGAAGUACGUCAACGUUUGCUCUGUUUCGAGUACAUAAGCAACGGAAGUCUUCGUGACUAUGUUCUAGAUCUGGAUCUUGGCUGGGAUAAGAGAUAUGCAAUAAUGGAAGGAAUUUGCAAAGGUUUAGAUUUCCUUCAUGAGGAAUGCAAUAUUACCCAUAUGGAUCUUAAACCUGAAAAUAUACUGCUGGAUGACGAUAUGGUUCCAAAAAUUACGGAUUUUGGUUUGUCGAGGCUCAGGGAUGUAGGAAAAUCUCAAAUUUUUACUCAUAACCUUACGGGAACACUUGGAUACAUGCCACCAGAAUACCUACUCGAGGGCAAAAUAUCUCAUAAGACAGAUAUAUACAGUUUGGGUGUUAUAAUGUGUGAGAUAAUCACAGGCGAAAAGGUGCCCAUUGGCGGGAGUAGUAACAGCUCCAUGAGUAUGGAAUUCACACGGAGAGCUUGCGGAAGAUGGAUGAAAAUAUUUGAGAAGUCACUGAAUGAUGCGUCACUAAAGGAAAUAUAUAUCAAACAAGUAAAACAGCUGCUCGACAUAGCCCUAAAAUGUGUGGACCAUGACAGGACGAAAAGGCCUGGUUCAUCGGAAAUACUUAAAGUUUUUUACCCUAAUCCAGCGGAAAGAAGCUCGUGUGAAUUAAACAGCAACUAUGGACAGGUCAUCGAACUCCUCAGUGUGCAUCCGCUGCAGCUUGAUUUCUCUUUGCCUGAGCCCAAAAAGUUACAUCACAGCUCAUGCUCGCUGCACCUAACCAACAACAUAGAUGCACCUGUGGUCUUCAGGCUCUUGCCAUCAGAGACUCUAUCAGCACAUUUCUUGCCGCAAUCUGGUGUGGUGCCGGCGAAGUGCCAGUACACACUCGCUGUCGUAAUGCUUCACCAGCAAAAUCCACGGUUCGGCAACGACGACUUUUUCACUCUCGAAAGCACCAAAGAGAGGUAUCAGGGCCUACGGAUCGUCGACCCAGGAGCAUUGAUUACGAAAGCCAGAGAAAGGGGUCUUAAGGUGCACGAGGUGAAAAUAGCUGCUGUCUGUGCACAUACUGAUCCGCCAAUAGGUCCUAAUUUAAAACCAGAGUUGGCCCGACCAGUUUCCUGGGACCGACAAGACGUAACGCCUGAACUCAUGAUAAUGCCCGUGGAAAGGUAUCCUCAUAGUUUUGGGGAGGAACCGGUAGCCAUAUGUGUGCAUCCAACAGAGCCAUGGAUCCUGAGGGCAUGCUUUUUGGAUGCAUUCGAGGUAUGGGACUACCAUAGGAUGGAAAAGAUGCACUUCUGUUUUGCCCAACCGCAAAAAGUCAACUGGAUUCCCAGUGAAGAGGCCGAUAUAUAUGGUGAUGCUGAUGGGCAACUAUACCUACCAACAGGGAUACCGAAGUUGGUUUCACGAAAGAGAUGGAUUUUGGUUGGGUCUAGCACUCAAUAUAGCAGACGAGAUGUUGGUUACAUAUAUGUGUACAGUUAUAUGGCAGUGAAAAAUUUCAAGGGAUCCAAAACAUAUAUAUUAUCAAAAAUAAAGAGUUUUAAGGCCCAUGAAAGAGGUAGUGUGUUAUUGGAAGUCCAUCCAUCUCGACCGUAUGUGCUGUCAUCAUUAGUUCCUGUUAAUGGAUCCAGUAGGAAUGUACCAAUGCACGUCAUUAAGCUGUGGGACUGGGAGAGUGGCUGGGAUUGUGUUCAGACAUUUAACAUGGAAGACUGUGCACGACAACUUAAAUUUAGCCCAAAGGACCAAGAUACUUUUGUUACAAUUUCCCAACAGAAAGAUGUAAAGGUAUGGGAUAUUGAUUCUCGAAAAUGUAAAUCUACAUUGCCCGUGACAGACGAGGUUUCGUGUUUUGAUUUCUUUACUCAAGGUGGAAAGCAAUACUUGAUCAUUGUUCAUCGCAAUGAAUUUAAGUCCACGAUAUGGGACUACGAUACAGGGACUCUUGUUGAAACUCUGAAAGAGAAGAAUAUAUCUACUGCUUGUUCCCAUCCUGAACUUCCGGUACUAAUUACAGGCUCCAAAGACGGAAGAGUCUCCCUAUGGAGCUCCAGUACGUUCAAUGGGAACAGUAUAUUUUAGCUAGUCUGCUGUGACAGUGUGUGAAUUCCUAGAUGGAAUUGUCAAUCACUUCUACAUAGAGACAUCAAUGUGGUGUUCGAUGUUCUUCGCUUACAUUCUUAUGAAGACAUUUUCAUUGCAAUUUGUGCUCCAUACUCUUUCAGUCUUGUGGGCGUACUGAACUGUUAUCUUGGAAAGGUAAUUACUGUAUCCGGCGUGAAGGGAACAGAAAGGAUUGUAAUAGAACAUGAACAUGGAAUUGCAGUUGUUGGAAUUGGCCAUAUGCUAGAAAGUGAAAGACCAGAUGGGUCAGAGGGAGAAGCGAGCUUGGGGAUAGAUAAAGAUACAUAAAGGAGGAGGCUAGCUGGUACUCCCUUCUUUUCAAACUGUAAAUCGUUUUGACUUUUCUAGAUAUAUAUAUUUUGCUAUGUAUCUGGAUAUAAUCUAUAUCUAGGUGCAUAGUAAAAAUAAUGUAUCUAGAAAAACUAAAACGAUCUCAAUUUAAAAUGAAGGGAGUGUUAGUUUUCUAUUUGUUAUAAUUGCAUAAUUCGGCGCAUCGAUCACCAAUACUCCGUUGUCUCACGUUGGUUGAUUAAGAUUUGAAUGAAACUAAAUAUUCUGUUGGUAAGUUGAGUACGCGUCAGAGGUGACAUAAUAAUAUAUGUAUGCUGUUAUUGAUGUUCUGGAACUCAGACGGUACUUAAUGAAGGGUUGUAAUCUCAUAUAUAGUUACGCAUCA